AAAAAAUCCCAUUUCCUAAAGAACCUUGAUUUUUUUUUUUAGUCAACAGUUCUUUGAUUAUGUAACUUGGUCUUUCUAAAAUCACUUGUUCAGUUCACACAAAUCUUUCCUAAUCUCAGAUACAGUAGCCAUGCUAAAUUAGAAAAGAAUGACACUCAAUGGAUCCAAGACCAACAAUGGGCAUUGAUCAGAUGGACAAAGCAUUAUCCCAAAUGAAACUAGAACUAUUGGGAAUGAAGUAAUAUUCUCAUUGAUUGAAAAAUAACUGUUCUUUAAAGAAGGAAGAAGUUUGGCAGGAACUACAGAUACAUGCCAGCCGUAUAGCAGACAUCGUUGACUUUGUUCUUAUCUCUAACUAACUAUGAUUAAGCUGAUUCUAGUUAACUAAUCCAGACUUUAACUAGCUAAUUAUAAAUUAUGAUUACCAAAACAUGCAAAGAGGAGAACAAAUGAACUCACACACACCACAAUCAGGCAGAGGAAUUGGACCAUGGACCAUAUCAAAUUAUCAAGAUCAUGAUUAAAUGGGGUAGAUGUAAAUUGUGAUGAUUCAGAAUUUGGAUAGCAAUUAGGCUUAAGGCUAAUUUGAGUUGUUUUACAAGUUCCUGUUUAUGCACCUAGUACAAAAAAGUAGGUUUUAACAAUUUGCACGGACAUCAAUCAGAUUAACGAUUUGUAUGGACUUCAAACAGGUUAUAAUCAUAAAAAGAGUCAAAGUUUAUUGUGGCUUGCUCAAACAGAGGUUGAGCAUAGCCUGGUCUCAAUUAAAGGAUUUUAAUCAAGAGCUGCAAAUCGUAAACUUCAACCAUAAAAUGAAUUUUCUGCUUCAAGAGGAGAAGAACUUCACCUGGGUUCCUUCAAAAAAAAAAA
rnacentral:misc_RNA from 1 species